rnacentral:lncRNA from 1 species
UAGUACGAGAGCAACCGUUGAUUCACAUAAUUGGUCAUCGCGCUUGGUUGAAAAGCCAGUAGCGUGAAAAUACCGUACGUUGGAUUAUGACUGAACGCAUCUAAGUCAGAAUACGGGUUAGAAGCGAUGUGUGUGCUCGUCGUUCGCUUGCCGACCAGUAGUAGAGGGCCUUGGCCCCCAGAGGGACGUGUCGUUGGUGGACCUCGUAAGACGGAUGAGCCUUAUGAGACACUUUGAAACACAAUUCCUAUUGAGCGGCGGGUAGAAUCCUUUGCAGAUGACUUAAAUACGCGAUG